GCCGAAGUGGUGGAAUGGCAGACGCACCGGACUCAAAAUCCGGCGGUAGCAAUACCGUGAGGGUUCAAGUCCCUCCUUCGGCA
rnacentral:tRNA from 1 species